rnacentral:rRNA from 1 species
UACGUAGGGUGCAAGCGUUGUCCGGAAUUAUUGGGCGUAAAGAGCUCGUAGGCGGUUUGUCGCGUCUGCUGUGAAAACCCGGGGCUCAACCCCGGGCCUGCAUUCGAUACGGGCAGACUAGAGUUCGGUAGGGGAGACUGGAAUUCCUGGUGUAGCGGUGAAAUACGCAGAUAUCAGGAGGAACACCGGUGGCGAAGGCGGGUCUCUGGGCCGAUACUGACGCUGAGGAGCGAAAGCGUGGGGAGCGAACAGG